GUCCUACGGGGCGCAGCAGCGGGGAAUAUUGCACAAUGGGGGAAACCCUGAUGCAGCGACGCCGCGUGAGCGAGGAAGUACCUCGGUAUGUAAAGCUCUGUCAGCAGGGAAGAAAAUGACAGUACCUGACCAAGAAGCCCCGGCUAACUACGUGCCAGCAGCCGCGGUAAUACGUAGGGGGCAAGCGUUAUCCGGAUUCACUGGGCGUAAAGGGAACGCAGGCGGCACGGCAAGUCUGAUGUGAAAACCCGGGGCUCAACCCCGGGACUGCAUUGGUAAAGGCCGGGCUGGAGUGUCGG
rnacentral:rRNA from 1 species